CUCGCACAAGCUCAGGAGAUCCACUCCUGAACUUACUGAGGUAAACUCUGCACAAUGGUAUCGCUUUUUUUUUACAACGCCAGACACAUAAGUGGAUUUUUCUGGCAAUGAAGAAAAUGCAUCUGUUGAGAUGAACUGCUCAGGAAAGGAUCCUCUCAUCAGUAUUGCUGUAGCACUGUGGGUCGCUGUCAUGGCAUUUGUGUUUUUUAUCUACUUGUACUGGAGACACAUUCAUCUCAAACCAAGUUUCCAUGUUUCAUGCCGAAAUAAUUUAGAGAUGCAAGAAACCAAUUUACAUUCCGGAAAAACUACUGAUCUUACAGUCGAAAAAG